rnacentral:rRNA from 1 species
AAUCCAUAGGUUAAUGAGGCGAACCGGGGGAACUGAAACAUCUAAGUACCCCGAGGAAAAGAAAUCAACCGAGAUUCCCCCAGUAGCGGCGAGCGAACGGGGAGGAGCCCAGAGCCUGAAUCAGCAUGUGUGUUAGUGGAAGCGUCUGGAAAGGCGCGCGAUACAGGGUGACAGCCCCGUACACAAAAGCGCAUGUGCUGUGAGCUCGAUGAGUAGGGCGGGACACGUGGUAUCCUGUCUGAAUAUGGGGGGACCAUCCUCCAAGGCUAAAUACUCCUGACUGACCGAUAGUGAACCAGUACCGUGAGGGAAAGGCGAAAAGAACCCCGGCGAGGGGAGUGAAAAAGAACCUGAAACCGUGUACGUACAAGCAGUGGGAGCCCCACCACCAAAGCAUUCUCUGGUGUUGAAGGCCCUGCAAAGCAGCAUCGCGGUGGCGGAGCGUCGUUUGCGACGCCCAACACACAAAACAAGCGGUGAGUG